rnacentral:rRNA from 1 species
AUUGAACGCUGGCGGCAUGCUUUACACAUGCAAGUCGAACGGUAACAGGCCUUCGGGUGCUGACGAGUGGCGCACGGGUGCGUAAUGCAUCGGAACGUACCCAGAGGUGGGGGAUAACGCAGCGAAAGCUGUGCUAAUACCGCAUGUGAUCUGAGGAUGAAAGCGGGGGACCGAGCAGCAAUGUUUGGCCUCGCGCCUUUGGAGCGGCCGAUGUCGGAUUAGCUAGUUGGUGGGGUAAAGGCCUACCAAGGCGACGAUCCGUAGCUGGUCUGAGAGGACGACCAGCCACACUGGGACUGAGACACGGCCCAGACUCCUACGGGAGGCAGCAGUGGGGAAUUUUGGGCAAUGGGCGCAAGCCUGAUCCAGCAAUGCCGCGUGCGGGAAGAAGGCCUUCGGGUUGUAAACCGCUUUUGGCAGGAACGAAACGGUGUCCGCUAAUACCGGGCGCUAAUGACGGUACCUGCAGAAUAAGCACCGGCUAACUACGUG